UACAGAGGUCCCAAGCGUUGUUCGGAUUCACUGGGCGUAAAGGGUGCGUAGGUGGUGAGGUAAGUCGGAUGUGAAAGCUCCGAGCUCAACUCGGAAAUGGCAUUGGAAACUACCUUGCUAGAGGGUUUGAGGGGGGACUGGAAUACUUGGUGUAGCAGUGAAAUGCGUAGAUAUCAAGUGGAACACCAGUGGCGAAGGCGAGUCCCUGGAAAACUCCUGACACUGAGGCACGAAAGCUAGGGGAGCAAACGGG
rnacentral:rRNA from 1 species